CGAACGCUGGCGGCGUGCUUACCACAUGCAAGUCGAACGGAAAGGCCCUGCUUUUGUGGGGUGCUCGAGUGGCGAACGGGUGAGUAACACGUGAGUAACCUGCCCUUGACUUUGGGAUAACUUCAGGAAACUGGGGCUAAUACCGGAUAGGAGCUCCUGCUGCAUGGUGGGGGUUGGAAAGUUUCGGCGGUUGGGGAUGGACUCGCGGCUUAUCAGCUUGUUGGUGGGGUAGUGGCUUACCAAGGCUUUGACGGGUAGCCGGCCUGAGAGGGUGACCGGCCACAUUGGGACUGAGAUACGGCACAGACUCCUACGGGAGGCAGCAGUGGGGAAUAUUGCACAAUGGGCGGAAGCCUGAUGCAGCAACGCCGCGUGCGGGAUGACGGCCUUCGGGUUGUAAACCGCUUUCGCCUGUGACGAAGCGUGAGUGACGGUAAUGGGUAAAGAAGCACCGGCUAACUACGUG
rnacentral:rRNA from 1 species